AGAGAAAAUCUGUGCACCAGCCUUGAACCAAACUGCUUCACCAAACUUGACACCAUUCUUUGAAAGGACUUCAGGGAACACACAGCCCAAAGCUCCAAGCAUGGCCCAUCGGCUGUGGAUUACCUCCAGCUCACGGUUCCUAGCAAAUGUCUCAGGGUCUGCGGAUAAUCCAGCAGUGUCCCAGCCAUAGUCACCAGGGAAUUCACCAGUAAGGUAUGAUGGAGUUUGCUCAGAGAAUGGUCCCAAGUACUUUGGGCGGUCUGGGCCAUACC